GGGGAAUUUUGGACAAUGGGCGCAAGCCUGAUCCAGCAAUGCCGCGUGCAGGAAGAAGGCCUUCGGGUUGUAAACUGCUUUUGUACGGAACGAAACGGUCCUGGCUAAUACCUGGGGCUAAUGACGGUACCGUAAGAAUAAGCACCGGCUAACUACGUGCCAGCAGCCGCGGUAAUACGUAGGGUGCGAGCGUUAAUCGGAAUUACUGGGCGUAAAGCGUGCGCAGGCGGUGCUGUAAGACAGGCGUGAAAUCCCCGGGCUCAACCUGGGAAUUGCGCUUGUGACUGCAGUGCUGGAGUGCGGCAGAGGGGGAUGGAAUUCCGCGUGUAGCAGUGAAAUGCGUAGAUAUGCGGAGGAACACCGAUGGCGAAGGCAAUCCCCUGGGCCUGCACUGACGCUCAUGCACGAAAGCGUGGGGAGCAAAC
rnacentral:rRNA from 1 species